GCCACUGGUGAGUCUUUUGCAGACAACUUUCCCAAUCCGUUCAAUACUCCUUCUGGAAAACUGUGGAUUCUCUGUGGUGCUGUGAAUGGAAGCUAAACUCUGACCACUCGGUUCAAAGGAAUUUGCUCCCCUCUGUGUAGGUUCAUCCUACAGUGUUUUGAAGUCAACAAGACAUAUCGUUUGUCCGCUACAGCUGCUCGUGUUGGACGACCACAGAUGGCGAAGAAUUUUCCAGUGAUAUUUUAGGCCCCUCCCACUGACCACAGUCUGUUGUUUCUUCAAUAGGAAUUUGCUCCCCUUUGUGUAGGUUCAUCGUACAGUGUUUUGAAGUCAACACGACAUAUCGUCUGUCCGCUACAGCUGCUCGUGUUGGACGACCACAGAAGCGGCGCCCUCUGAGAACGCAAGGCAUUGUGGGUAAAUUGGUUAUCUUUUGUUGUUUAGCUCUGAACAGUGAUAGUGUUUAUCAAAUAUGAAGCAGUUUGAACUUUGCAUUCUAGAGUUAUAAGCUUUUUCCUAUUACAGCGUGCUGAUGGCGAAGGAUUCUCCUGUGUCAUGAUAGGCCCCUCCCACUUUUCACAACCUGGUUUAUUUUCCAUAGCAAUGUGCUUCCAUCUAAUAAGAUUCAUCCUACAGUGUUUUGAAGUCAACACGACAUAUCGUCUGUCCGCUACAGCUGCUCGUGUUGGACGACCACAGAAGCGGCGCCCUCUGAGAACGCAAGGCAUUGUGGGAAUUUGCUCCCCUCUGUGUAGGUUCAUCGUACAGUGUUUUGAAGUCAACACGACAUAUCGUCUGUCCGCUACAGCUGCUCGUGUUGGACGACCACAGAAGCGGCGCCCUCUGAGAACGCAAGGCAUUGUGGGUACAUUGGUUAUCGUUUGUUGUUUAGCUCUGGACAGUGAUCGUGUGUAUCAAAUAUGAAGCAGUUUGAACUUUGCAUUCUAGAGUUAUAAGCUUUUUCCUAUUACAGCGUGCUGAUGGCGAAGGAUUCUCCUGUCAUGAUAGGCCCCUCCCACUUUUCACAACCUGGUUUAUUUUCCAUAGCAAUGUGCUUCCAUCUAAUAAGAUUCAUCCUACAGUGUUUUGAAGUCAACACGAUAUAUCGUCUGUCCGCUACAGCUGCUCGUGUUGGACGACCACAGAAGCGGCGCCCUCUGAGAACGCAAGGCAUUGUGGGUACAUUGGUUAUCGUUUGUUGUUUAGCUCUGGACAGUGAUCGUGUGUAUCAAAUAUGAAGCAGUUUGAACUUUGCACUCUAGAGUUAUAAGCGUUUUCGUAUUUAUGGCGUGGUGAUGGCGAGGGAUUUUCGUGUGUCAUUAUAGGCCCCUCCCACUGACCACAGUCUGUUGUUUCUUCAAUAGGAAUUUGCUCCCCUCUGUGUAGGUUCAUCCUACAGUGUUUUGAAGUCAACACGACAUAUCGUUUGUCCGCUACAGCUGCUCGUGUUGGACGACCACAAAUGGCGAAGAAUUUUCCAGUGAUAUUUUAGGCCCCUCCCACUGACCACAGUCUGUUGUUUCUUCAAUAGGAAUUUGCUCCCCUCUGUGUAGGUUCAUCGUACAGUGUUUUGAAGUCAACACGACAUAUCGUCUGUCCGCUACAGCUGCUCGUGUUGGACGACCACAGAAGCGGCGCCCUCUGAGAACGCAAGGCAUUGUGGGUAAAUUGGUUAUCGUUUGUUGUUUAGCUCUGGACAGUGAUUGUGUGUAUCAAAAAUGAAGCAGUUUGAACAUUGCAUUCUAGAGUUAUAAGCUUUUUCCUAGAACGGCGUCCUGUUGAUGCUAACCGUGUACAUGACCUUAAAUGACACCGGUCGAAAACACAAGGCAUGAUGGGAAAUGUUUCAAAGCAGUCAUGACCAAGCUUGGGCACAUGUCCUUUGUGUGAAAUUUGAAGCUGAUCGAAGUUUGUGUGUCAGAGU
rnacentral:lncRNA from 1 species